CAGUAGCCGCGGGAAUGCGAAGGGUGCAAGCGUUACUCGGAAUUACUGGGCGUAAAGCGUGCGUAGGUGGUGGUUUAAGUCCGUUGUGAAAGCCCUGGGCUCAACCUGGGAAUUGCAGUGGAUACUGGGUCACUAGAGUGUGGUAGAGGAUAGUGGAAUUUCCGGUGUAGCAGUGAAAUGCGUAGAGAUCGGAAGGAACAUCUGUGGCGAAGGCGACUAUCUGGGCCAACACUGACACUGAGGCACGAAAGCGUGGGGAGCAAACAGGAUUAGAUACCCCUGUAGUCCCUGUCUCUUAUAC
rnacentral:rRNA from 1 species